CAGUAGCCGCGGUAAUACGUAGGUCCCGAGCGUUGUCCGGAUUUAUUGGGCGUAAAGCGAGCGCAGGCGGUUAGAUAAGUCUGAAGUUAAAGGCUGUGGCUUAACCAUAGUACGCUUUGGAAACUGUUUAACUUGGGUGCAGAAGGGGAGAGUGGAAUUCCAUGUGUAGCGGUGAAAUGCGUAGAUAUAUGGAGGAACACCGGUGGCGAAAGCGGCUCUCUGGUCUGUAACUGACGCUGAGGCUCGAAAGCGUGGGGAGCAAACAGGAUUAGAUACCCCGGUAGUCCCUGUCUCUUAUACC
rnacentral:rRNA from 1 species